ACUCACUCUCACACUCACACACACACACACACACACACACACUUAUAGGCAUUUACGUGUCCUAUGGACUCUAUGCAUAUCAUUCACAGUGUUCCCCACAGAAUUGGAUUCUAUUUGUGGUGGUAGCCGACUUGGACGGGGAGACCUUUGAUGUCCACUGUAUUGGUGUACAGUAUUGGUGGUCAGCUAUAGAAAUAGCAAGCACCUGUAGGAAAUGUGGGAGGGGCUUUGACGCUGCCUCUGAAGGUCAGACACUUUGCCCAAGGUGCAAAGUGGCAGGGAAGGCCCAGCGGAAUAUUGUCUUCAGGAAGUGGAUACCGUGUGGCCAGUGUCAGGCUUGUCAGACGACCACUGACUGCGGUGCCUGUGCCAGCUGCAGGACU